rnacentral:lncRNA from 1 species
AUGGGCGGGGUGGUGGAGGAAGCCGCUCUUCCUAGCGGGGGCGUCCUUCGCCCACCGCAGGAGGCAAAGCUGCUGUGUGGGGCGUGGGGUGGGGUGAGGGGGAGGGAGGCUGCACGAGGAGAGCGUGAAGGUGGCGGCAGGCGCGCGCGCGCGGGGGGGGGGGCGUGUGGAGGCAGCCACAUGACCGGGCGGGCUGCGAGCCAAGGCGGACGGUCUGGGUCUCCCCCGACGCCCGCCUACAAAUGCAGGCGGGCCGCGGCGGGAGCGGGCGCGAUCGCUGCUGCUGCUGCUCGCUGCGUGACUGUUGCAGCCGGCUGGCGUGGCUCGGCCCUCGGCGUCGCGAUGGGCGUGCGGGGUUGGCUGCUGGCGCUGCUCCUUCUCUGGCUGGCUCUCAGCCCCGGCUCCGGAGGUGGGUGGCUGCUUCGCUUGACCCUCGAGGGCGGGCGGGAUCGGGGCUCCGAGCGCCGCACUUGUUGCCGGGCACGCACGUUAAGCAGCGGGGUGGGAAGGAGGGAUCAGCGUCGACCGGGUCGCCUCUUCUCCCUCGCGAAGGACGCGCUCCUGACCAAACUGCUGCCCGACCUCUCGCCCUCUGCUCGCCGUCGGGGCGCCCGCUCGGCCAGGAGGGGACGUGCCAGGCGGCGCGCCGCCCUCUUGCCCCCUUCUCCGGUUACGAGAGAGCCAGAAAGAGACGGCCUGGCACGGACAGCGAGAUGGCGGGCGGGCGGGCGGGCGGGCAGCAGCGCCGGUCCUCCUCUGCUCUCUGCUGCGCCCCUGGCAGGCAGCGCCUGUUGCAGCAAGAUCGGGGAAGCCUGCGCUCCCCCCCCCCGGCUCCCCGCGCGCGGCAGGCAUGCUUCUCUGCACGCGAGCACAUCACAAACCAGCGUGGGACUGCCUGUAGGGUCUGGUGGAAGUGGGGUUUUCACCCUCUCCCUGCCACCCUGCAGCUGUCCAGAACCCGCUUGCCUUGGGGGCGGGGAGGGUCCCAAAACGAGUCCCGUGCAAGUUGCAGGGAUCGUGCCUGUUAGCCUCCGCUCUGCUGGCAGAUGUUCAACAGAUGAAGGCGGCUCACCUUCUGCCAGCUGA